GAAGUUAUAGCUCAGUGGUAGAGCUUGUGCCUAGCAUGCACGAGGUCCUAGGUUCAACCCCCGUACCUCCA
rnacentral:tRNA from 1 species